AAACGAUGAAUGCCAGCUGUUGGGGUGCUUGCACCGCAGUAGCGCAGCUAACGCUUUGAGCAUUCCGCCUGGGGAGUACGGUCGCAAGAUUAAAACUCAAAGGAAUUGACGGGGGCCCGCACAAGCGGUGGAGCAUGUGGUUUAUUCGAAGCAACGCGCAGAACCUUACCAUCCUUUGACAUGGCGUGUUACCCAGAGAGAUUUGGGGUCCACUUCGGUGGCGCGCACACAGGUGCGUGCAUGGCUGUCGUCAGCUCGCUGUCGUGAGAUGUUGGGUUAAGUCCCGCAACGAGCGCAACCCACGUCCUUAGUUGCCAUCAUUCAGUUGGGCACUCUAGGGAGACUGCCGGUGAUAAGCCGCGAGGAAGGUGUGGAUGACGUCAAGUCCUCAUGGCCCUUACGGGAUGGGCUACACACGUGCUACAAUGGCGGUGACAGUGGGACGCGAAGGAGCGAUCUGGAGCAAAUCCCCAAAAGCCGUCUCAGUUCGGAUUGCACUCUGCAACUCGAGUGCAUGAAGGCGGAAUCGCUAGUAAUCGUGGAUCAGCAUGCCACGGUGAAUACGUUCCCGGGCCUUGUACACACC
rnacentral:rRNA from 1 species